rnacentral:tRNA from 1 species
GGUUCGGUAGCUCAAUGGAUAGAGCAACUGCCUUCUAAGCAGUAGGUUACAGGUUCGACCCCUGUCCGAAUCA